rnacentral:lncRNA from 1 species
UUGUGAGUAGGAUUUUAUCAAGGAAUUUAAAAUUUCUUAAGUAUUAAGGUCAGGUCACUAGAUGUAGCACCUUGAGUUCUAAAAAGAAUUAAAUAGGAAGUAUCAAAAUAUGAAAUUUUGCAAGUUAUGCUUAGUUUAUGAGUUUUGGGUCAACUUCAAACGGCCAUAACUCUCAGUCAAGGAUGAUUUAUGUAACGACCCGAGUCUACACACGUGGCUGGCACUCGAAGACCAUUGCUGGUCCCCAGGCGAACCCUCAUCCUGACUGACUACAAGCGGAACACUAACUUAAGCAUGCAAAAGCUUAAAACUGAAUAAAAUUCAAUAAACUCAACUUUUCAAAACUUCAACUCAAAUGAACAACUUAGAAUAGUAAAAACUACAUAUAGUACGUUGAUAUGAGCAGCUUUAAUUACGAGAUAUGUGUGAUGAACACAAUAUCAAAUAUAUUGAAAUAAUAUUUUAAUAAGAAAGUAAUAAUACAUGAGGUAAAACCAAAAGUGUACUAUAUAUGCAUUAAUUAGUGGUCCACUCUCAAAAAGAAAAACAGAAACCCAGUAAUAUUUUAUAAAAUAAUUGAAAUAUUAUUUGACCGAUUAUAGAUACAAUUUCCAAUGUAUUAUAUCAGAAAUUCAUUUGUCAAUUAAUUAAGAGCGGAGCUAGAAAUUUGGUGACGGAUUUGACCGAGUAAUUUUUGUUCAAACAGUGUAUUUGUAUUAAAAAACUUAUUAAAUAUGUACAAAUAUGAAGUUUAGAACUCAAUAAUUAAAACUUGAAAUUGUCGUUAUAAUCUAUGUGCAGCAUUAUGUUUAUAUAAUAGCUUUACUUUAUAUAUGCAUGUCAUAUAUUUUUAAGAUUUGUCUUUCAAAUUGUUUAUGUGUGAUAUUAUUAUAGAGAAAUAUAUUAUCAUAACGGUUUAAUCAUGCAUGAUAAAGUUAGUUCAGUCACGGGAUGUAUAUGUACUAUAAAGAUUCUGCAAAUGUACCAUGUGAUUUAUCCACUCGACACAAGUAAUUCAAAACAAAUCAAGUAUGAUAAUUCAAAAUAGGGUUGUGGUCGAGUUUUUAAUCUCCUUGCUACAAAGUCAAUUUUGUUAGGGAGUACUUUUAUCCUUUAAUGUGGGACUUUACAGCGCGAGUCUGAAUUUAGUCAGGCCUUUCUUGUUGGGUUCUGAAGGGUUAUUGGGCGCAAGCGGAAGUUUACAAUUUGCAAAACAUAUAGUUGAUAAAUCAGAUAACAAAAACUUAUACUAAAAAGUCAAAAUAUUAUUAUAUCAAAACUAAUAUAAAGAAAAACAUUAAAACUUUAGAGAGAAUAAAUCUCUCCAUAACAAAACUCACAAAACGACUACAUUGUGGAUUCUAUUAUGUUAUGCUAUGAGAAUAGGGAUCUUCAAUUCAUAGAUCUCCAAACUAUUUCUCUAAGGAAACAAUAAACCAAAUAUGGAAGAAAAUUAUAUUUUCCUUUCAGAAAAAGUUCAGUAUUUAUGGUAAUACUUGACUUUUCUUUAAGGAAAUAAAUAAACUUCAAAUAAGGAAAGAAAAUCAGGGCAAAACCCUAACACAAUGUGGGUAUCAGUGGAUGGUAAACAAAAAAAAGAAAAAUACUUUUCGACCACACAAAUAUCUCAGAAUUUCUAGCUCAAAUCAUAUUAUGUCAAAUUUCAACGAAAAUACAUGUCAAAAUAUCAUUUCUCAAGCAACUAUCAAACCCUUUCAAUAAUGAGAAUCAUAUCUCAAGUAUCAAUACACAUUUCUUAUCACUACGUAUAGUACUCUUUUGAACAUUAUUUUAAAUAUCCAACCCUCGAGUUAAAUUAAGAUUUGACUCUCAAUUUUUAAUUUUGUUGAUUACUUUUUGUUAAGCCAAAAGUUAGCUUUUUGUUUAAUCAUGAAUGAUUAUUAAAGUUUAGUCACGGGUAUAUAAAAUUCAAGAAAGGAGCCAUACAUGCAUAAGAUAACAAAAAUGUACUAUAUAUAUUGAUUUGAAUAUGUCUAUGUAUUGUAUGUGUUGUGAUACAUGUAACACCUCAUAAAUUUUUUCGAACUGAGAUUCGAAUCAUUCUUCGUUGUGAGUAGGAUUUUAUCAAGGAAUUUAAAAUUUCUUAAGUAUUAAGGUCAGGUCACUAGAUGUAGCAACUUGAGUUCUAAAAAGAAUUAAAUAGGAAAUAUCAAAAAUCUGAAAUUUUGCAAGUUAUGCUUAAGUUAUGAGUUUUGGGUCAACUUUACAAGUCGAAUCCUAGAUUUAGAAAUAGAAGAAGGUGGACCCCCUUCUCCGUCGAAAGAAAUGAGAUUAUCGCGAAUACACACAUUAAUUAACCAAAUUUGCCCGACGUAGAGGCAAUCAAGAAAGCCGCAUAAGUGAAUAUAUAACCUACAGAAAAGUGAGCUAAUCCAACCAAGUAGCUACUGGGUUUGCUAUGACUUUUUACUAUCGUCCGACCGUUACUGAGGCUUUUGCUUCAAACGGCCAUAACUCUCAGUAAAGGAUGAUUUAUGUAACGACCCGAGUCCACACCCGUGGCUGGCAUUCAAAGAUCAUUGCUGGUCCCCAGGCGAACCCUCAUCCUGACUGACUACAAGCGGAACACUAACUUAAGCAUGCAAAAGCUUAAAACUGAAUAAAAUUCAAUAAACUCAAUUUUUCAAAACUUCAACUCAAAUGAACAACUUAGAAUAGUAAACACUAUAUAUAGUACGUUGAUAUGAUCAGCUUUAAUUACGAGAUAUGUGUGAUGAACACAAUAUCAAAUAUAUAGAAA